rnacentral:lncRNA from 1 species
AGAAUACAGGCUUCUUUCAACUCGACUGAACAACCGUUGCUUUUCUAUCAAACGACUUUUCAUAUCAUUUCAGCACCACACUUUCAAAAUUAACUUCGUUGUAUGUUAGAGGAAUUGCUCCUCCAAGAGAGAAAAAGAGAAAGAAAUCAAGGAAAAACGUAAAGAUUGCCAACUGUGACUGAGCCAAACGAAACAUGAGCAAAAAGGAUGACCUGGGAACAAUCAGGAAGCUCAAAUAAAUGGAGAUCAUGUCAAUGACAAAGAAUGGCCUG